GACGAACGCUGGCGGCGUGCCUAAUACAUGCAAGUAGAACGCUGAAGGAGGAGCUUGCUUCUCUGGAUGAGUUGCGAACGGGUGAGUAACGCGUAGGUAACCUGCCUGGUAGCGGGGGAUAACUAUUGGAAACGAUAGCUAAUACCGCAUAAGAGUAGAUGUUGCAUGACAUUUGCUUAAAAGGUGCAAUUGCAUCACUACCAGAUGGACCUGCGUUGUAUUAGCUAGUUGGUGGGGUAACGGCUCACCAAGGCGACGAUACAUAGCCGACCUGAGAGGGUGAUCGGCCACACUGGGACUGAGACACGGCCCAGACUCCUACGGGAGGCAGCAGUAGGGAAUCGUCGGCAAUGGACGGAAGUCUGACCGAGCAACGCCGCGUGAGUGAAGAAGGUUUUCGGAUCGUAAAGCUCUGUUGUAAGAGAAGAACGAGUGUGAGAGUGGAAAGUUCACACUGUGACGGUAUCUUACCAGAAAGGGACGGCUAACUACGUG
rnacentral:rRNA from 1 species